GCUUUUAAGUUUAAUGGUUGCAAUUCCAUUUAGAAAAAAAUUCAAUUGAGAGAAUCUAAAUCCAAAUUUAUCAAACAACUAAUGAGAAAUCAUAUGUUUACGGUUAGAAGGAUGAUGAUGGCUUAUUGAAGAAAAUAGAUGAUGAACAGUAGUAAAGGGGGAAAAAUCAAAGAGUCGUAGAGUGGCUGUUGAACAUAAGUAAAUGAACUACUGCAAUUUUCGAUUGAAGAAGAAGAUAUAGUGGUAGAUGUGUUGUAGGGUAGACAAGUAGCGCAAUAAACAAUUAGUUGCAUAACAACUAAUUGAUUAUCUCAUAACUACUGUAACUUUAUUAACAGUUUGUUUGUUAUAGGUGUUAACCAUAGUUAGGUAGUUAAUCAUAGUUUAGUUCGAGAGUUGAGUUUCUCUCUUGAUUUAUGCGAUAAACAACUCAUUGUAAACUCGGAUUUUGUGAACGAAUUCUUCUCUUUCAAUUCAGUUACGAUUGGUUCAUAGUAGCUUUCUAUGUUAGUUUUCUUGUAUAUGGAGAAUCAACUCAACCAUUUGAAAUGGAUUCAAUCGCAUUUGGAUUUGAUAUCUCCUUCAUUUCUAUGAACAGUCAUCUUGUUUCCAACGUUUCUUGUUCAACACUAUGAACCCUCCGCACUAUUGCAAAUGUUUAUUCAUUUCUUGUUCAGCAAGAAAGACAACUUAUUCUGCCUUUAGUUGAGUCUAAUAUACUAACUGCUUUAGGAAGUGGUUUUUCUUACAUUCAACUUUCUGGUAGAGGUCAAUCAUCGCGUGGAAAAACUGAUGGUAGAGCGGGGUAGAGGCCGCCUUAGGCUUUGUUCACAUUGUGGCAAAACUGGACACAUAGAUAGGUGUUGGAAGAAACAUGGUGUUUUCCCUCAUUUUCAGCAAACUGGCAUGAUAUCUCGUAAAACAAAAUUAUAAAUUAGAUAAUGAGAUUUAUAAAAUACUAUCAUUCUAAAGAAACCAAUUAAUGUAAAUAACAUUUUUCUUAUUUAAUUUUAGAAACCACUACUUUAGUCAAGCAAUUCCAGCAUAAUAAUUUAUAUACUUUCAACUCACUUCUUUAUCCAAACUUUACAGAUUGCAAACUUUUCAAACUUUACAGCAUAAUAAUUUUAGAAACUCAUUUAUGAACUCUGCAAAUUGCAAACUUUAGAAUGAAUACGAAAGUUACCACCAAUGUGUGUAUCAUGUUUAUUGUUUUUGUCAUUAAGAUUAUAAUUUCUUUUCCUAAAAAAACAUAGGUUUACACUAAAUACGGCUUUGAUGUCCAAAGGCUUCUUCACAAAAAAAAAAACAUAGUCUUCUUCACAAUACAGCUUCGAUGUCUUCCACUUACGGACCUGAGAUAUCUCAAAAACUAAAUACGAAUAGGUUUUUGUUAAAUCAAGUAAAAAAACAAGAAAUAGAGUUUCCGAUGAUAGAAAUGAAAGGCUUUGAAGAAAAAAAAGAGGAUUACAUUAAUCUCAUCUACUCCCUUAUACACACGUAAUAGCCAACUAAACAAAUGUGUCCAAAUUUCACAUUAAUCAUAAAAAUGUUGUAUCAUCAAUCACAUUUAAACUUAUCUUACUUCAUUUCAGUAUGACUUGAUCAGAAGAUAGAAAAGACGGGGAUAACUACUUUCCCACAUUCGACACCGUUGAUAUGACCUAAUCAGAAGAACAAUGUUUGAAGGAUGUACUUGCAAGCAUUUCGAUCUUAUGUCAAUAUUUGAACUUGAAUGUGAAUUAAAGAUAGAACAAAUGACUAAACAAGUUCUCUUAUGUAACCAUAUAAAACGAGGGAAUAAAAAUUAUUAGAAUGAGGGAUUGUAUCUUUUAAAAAAUACAUGUAUUUAUUGAUGGAUUAAUAUCUCUUAUUUCUAAAUGUUAACCUGUGACGCAAUAUUAACACUAGAUUUAACCUAAUUUUUUUGCGUGACUUUACUAUAUUAACCCUAGAUUUAAUUUAUGCAAAAUGUCAUCUCUUCUCUUGUUUCUAAAUGUUAACCCGUGAUGCAAUAUUAACCCUAGAUUUAACCUAAUUUUUUCGCGUGACUUUACUAUAUUAACCUUAGAUUUAAUUUGUGCAAAAUGUCAUCUCUUAUUUCUAAAUGUUAACCUGUGACGCAGUAUUAACCCUAGAUUUAACCUAAUUUUUUCGUGUGGCUUUACUAUAUUAACCCUAGACUAGAACGCCGACCCGUGCACCGCACGGGUCAUGUCGACUAAAACAACUUGCAAAGUGAUAUACCAUAUAUAAAUAAAGGGAAGUGCUAUAUAGCACGACACCUCAACCACACAAGAUUCCAUGACAUGCAUGUUAAAGGCAUGGCAAAAAAAGCGGAAGAUAUACUAAGUAAAAAUAAAAAAAGGAAAACAUGUUCAUGGGGUUAUCUAACGGCUUCAAAUAGUCGUGUGUGUGUCGCGCUUCUGGCCAUCGUGCCAAGAAGCAUUUUCCAUAAAUAAAUGUGAUUGUUAGAUUACUGUGCAUAAGUACUCUUGUCAGCCCUAUUAUAUUUAAUUUUAAAGUUAACAAUAAGCCAAGCUCCUUAAAAAAAAUAAAAAAUAAAAAAUAAGCCAAGCACCUGGCCGCCACUCUAUAGUCUAAGGGAGUGGAUCCUCUCCGAUGGAGAUCCCUCCGGUUUUCUAUAGCGCCCUACUAUCCACCUUUAAUUAUAUUCUCUCUUAUUUUUUGAUAUUACAAACACAUUAUCUCACGCACCUAUUUAAUGGAGUACUUGGAUUAUACAUGAGAGAAAACCAUAUAAGACAAUCUCCCCAUGGAAUCUAAAGCAUGCAAAUAUGAUAAGUCAAUAUGGCGUGAAAUAAACUGCCAUGGUUUUUUUUUAUUUUAAAUCACAUAUUUUCCUAUACAUUUAGAUGGUUACUCCAUUGUUGAAGAAAUAUUGCUCUAUAUACUACUUAUAGGAAUAUAUCUAUCGAGAUGUUUUUUUACAGGGAAAGCAGAUUGAUCAAAUAUAUUCAUUGAUAUUAUAAUUUUUUUUUGACAAAGAGAGGUCAUUGAUAUUAUAUAUUAUAAUUGUUGUAGUGUAUGUUAGUGAAUAGAACUAAUAUAUUACUCCCUCCGUCCCUAAUUAUAAUAUUCUUUUGAGAAUAUUUGUUGUCCCUUUUUAUAAGACCCCUUUGUUAUUUCCAACUACAUUAAUUAUUUCUUUGCAAUAAGUAGCAUAUGGAAAACAUAAACUAACUCUCUCUCUUAAGGAUAAAAUUGUAAAAACAAUAGUGAUUACAAACAACUUUAAUAUAAAUAUUCACUUUCUUAAUUCCCGUGAUUUUAACAAAAGGGUCUUAUAAUUAGGGACGGAGGGAGUAUAAGUUAAUGAAAAUAUACUUUUCAUUAGCAUUUAUAAACUCAAAAAAAUAAUUAAAUAUGAUAACUUUAACAAUAGAUAUUCAUUGUAGACAUAGUCAUCUAUUUAAAGAUGAGUUAACACUCAAAAGCAAAAACAAACAAAGAAUGCAAUGCUUACAUGAUAGUUCAUAGUCAACGUUGAAUAAAUUUUAGAAAAAUUGCAUAAAACUGAUGAAAAUAAAUAUGACACUACAUAUUAAUUUGAUUGCUAAAAAAGCAAUGAAAUGUAAUGUAAAGAAGUCCAUUGUAGCCCAAAGCACUUGAUCCAAUCUUCAUCAUUUUCCCGUUCUACAGCUUUCUUGCACUACAUAAUAAGCUUUUCCAACAUCCUCCAAAUUUGGUAGUCUUGUUCUCAAGAUUAAACUCCAAAAGCAUACUCCUAAAAUGACCUGAAUCAUCGCUUAAAUCUAAAUCUUUUCAACCCUUGUGGAUGAUAUCAGCAGUUAAUCCGUCAUACGUGAAGGUAUAAUUAAAAAAAAAAUCAAUUAUAUUAUAAGUUCCAUUUCAUUACUUACCAACAAUCCAGAUCUAAUAUCAGAUGAAUUCAACCAUUUGACGAUGAAAUACUAAAAAUUUGUGGGGUCAUGGUGGUAAGCAAUUGGUGCAAUAUACCAGCAAAUUCAAGUUCACUGUCAUGACCAUUAAUUGAAUGCUCUAGCCUUAGUAACAAUAAAGGAACAUAUAGGGGAUAUUUGAUCCCAACAUCACGAUGGUCCUUAUUAACAAUAAUCACAAAAAGUCUUCGCAAACACAUACGAAUGUAAUCCGCAUCGAAUUUCAUAUUAUAAGCGUUGUUAAGUUCAUUCACACCAUGAGUUACGUUAAACAUAAUUUGUCAACAACGACCUCAAAUUGAUUGAGUGCAAGAUUGUGAGAACAGCCAACACAGCUCCUUCAGUUAUGCCUUGAUCUGCGCGUCUGCUGUCUACAUUUUCAACACUGCAUUAAUCUUAAUUAACAAACUUGUCUACAAUUCAAAUAUGUUUUUGCAACUCUUCCAGCUAGCAUAUAAGAUCAAACAUCAAAAUUGUCAUUAAUCUAAAUUCAAUGAGAUUAUUGCACAAUUGUAUAUUUAUAUGCUUGUACAACAUUUCAGAUUUGAUAUAUAGAAAACAAUUAUUCUUUAUAAGGAUCAAUCAACAUUAUAUACCGAUAUAACUCAUAACCAAUUUCCUUAGUUAGCAUGGGUACUAAGUAAAAAGCAUUAUAUGAGACAACUUAGCAUAUUACAUUGUAAAAUGAAUUUAUUUACAAAAACUAAUGGCAUAAAACAGCAACAGAAUUUCCUACAAAGGGGCAUAAAAAAUUCAACUCCUCAAUACCUUAUUAACAUCAUUCCAAUCACAGCAAGUUUUGAUUAAAAUACUCAUCAACAGCCUAAUUCUCAGAUUCAGAUUUUCUCCCUAAAAAUACGAAAAAUCCUGAAAAGGAAUAGAAAAUGUGAACAAAAUUUGAAAUCAAAAUCCCUAAUAUACUUUAAAUACCUUAUCAUCAUCAAAAUCCUCCGUGUGCGGUCGAUCCCAACUCACAUAGCAUAACACCCAGAUCACAAAAAGAAAGCAAGAAAUUUGGUAGAGAAGAAAAAAAAACAAAUGAAAAAAAACUGAAAACCAUGUAAUCAAAUUAAAGCUUAGGUUCAUACAUGCCAUGGAUGUUGUUGAUGGUGGUGUUGUUAAUGGGGUGAGAGACAUUUAAGACCGGAGCAUGUAGUGAAUUUAAAGAAAGAAGAUUCGAACUCAUUAGUGAAAGGUUGCAAGCAAAUACAAUUAGUAGAAGCAAGGGAACAAAGAGAUCAGUGUUCUAUUGGUCAAGGCGUCAGGCUACAUUGAAUAACACAUAAAUGGAUUAGAACAAAUAUGCUAGCACAUCUAUUCAUUGGAAAGCUCUCUUUUGUACAUACAACCAUGUGUUGCACGACUUUUGACAUUUUUUGUGCUUUGGUGUAUGUAGCACAAUUUUUUGGAAACAAAUUAGAAUAAAGAAUGGCUUUUUCGAUGCAGGAAAGCUCUCUUGUGCUUUGGUGUAUAUUAAAUGCCAUCAUCCAUAUGCCUUAGAUACAUGCAUCCACAAACUCUAAUUGUUAUGGGAGCGAAAUUUAGAAUUUGAACCUAAAGUGAUGAUUAGGAAAAGCACUAAGGUGAAUUUAAUGCUUGGAUGAUGGAGGGAAAAUAUUAGGUUAAAAUUAGGGUAUGAUAUUGCUUGACCAAACAAGCUUUAGUAAGAAAGAUUUAAUUUAUGCAAAAUGUCAUCUCUAAUUUUAACCUAAUUUUUCCCUCCACAAUUUUGCAUUUAAUGUUUAUCUAAAGUAAAAUAAAAUUAUGUUCCUAAUUAUAAGCUGUUUUUUUGGAAAGGAAUAACCGUUAACCCGUCUCGCUAUACUUAACCUAAUCUCUUACUUAUAAAUGUUAACUCGUCUCGCUAUACUUAACUUAUUAUGUUACAUUACUUAUAAAUGUUAAUCCGUCUCGCUAUACUUAACCUAAUUUUUUCCUCACAUUUUUGCAUUUAAUGUUUAUCUAAAGUAAAAUAAAAUUAUGUUCCUAAUUAUGUGUUAUUUUUUUGAAAAUCUCUUACUUAUAAAUGUUAACCCGUCUCGCUAUACUUAACUUAAUUUUAACCUAAUUUUUUCAUCCACACUUUUGCAUUUAAUGUCUAUCUAAAGUAAAAUAAAAUUAUGUUCCUAAUUAUAAGAUGUUUUUUUGGAAAGGAAUAACCGUUAACCCGUCUCGCUAUACUUACUUAAUCUCUUACUUAUAAAUGUUAACCCGUCUUGCUAUACUUAACCUAUUAUGUUACAUUACGGUAUCAAGGACGAUGUCAUGGAAAAUUAUGUUAUGGUUCAGUACCAACGUCUAUGCUUCUUAAUAUUAUGAAAUACUAUAUGACAUUCAUCUAAACUAUUUUGUUACCUAUUACCGUCAAAUAUUACAUUGUCGAUGGUCUAGUAAAUCUAUAAUAGAAACAAGGUCAUUCAAAAAAUUCAUUUCUUAAUUUGAGUUAACUCUUCUUAAACCACGGUUAAAGAGAAACGGAUUGAAUAGAAAAAAUUAAUUUCUUAAUUUGAGUUAGCCAAGUAAUUUUAAAAGUAAGAAAAUCUAAUUUAAUCUUUUAAGCAAAGAGGCAAACGACGCCUCUUAAUUUUACGGUCCAAUCAACACAUUUGCUUAAUCACAUAAUGUACCACAUCAUAAUUCUAUAAGACUAAAACCUUUUAUCCACUUGAUUUAAUUUCCAACACAAUAGUCUCAUUUGUCUUCCCAUAAAUAGAUGUCUCGCUCAUUCCAUUUGUGUAAAUUAAAAUUCAAUCCAAACAUGGCCUCUACAUACUCAAUAGUAUUACUUCUACUUGGAAUGAUGAUGGUUACCACUUUCGUGGGUGCUGGAAGGUUUAAUAUGUUUGGAUAUCCAGAUUAUUACCCUGUAGAUUUAGAAGAUGAUUGGUUUGAAGUAUUGUCUGACCCAUCUGAUAUUAUAGUGGGUGGAAAGCCUAAAAGUCUUGCACGUCCGCCGCCUAUAUUCGAUCCAGAAGAUGAUUUGUCAGAUAUGGAUUCUCUUCAUUGAAAAUUUUCUCCAACUUUCUCCAUUGUCAAUCUCUAUCAAUAAAAUACAACAACUACUUUUUUUUCUUAAUUUAAUUCUCAUUUUCUCUUUUAAGUUUAAUGGUUGCGAUUCCAUUUGAAAAAAAAAAUUCAAUUGAGAGAAUCUAAAUCCAAAUUUAUCACAACUAAUGAGAAAUCAUCUGUUUACGAGACGACGACAUCUGCUUGACUCAGUCUACCUUACAAAAAAAAUUACUAUUGAUAGACACUUUUUUUUUUUAUCAAAUCCCCAAUAUACACCUCCAUAGGGUGUUAGGGACAUUUUUGUAAUUUUCAUUAGCAUUACAUGUGAACAAAGUGGCAAAAUUAUGUCUACUAAAAUUAUAAGAACAGUUGUUUGUUAUAUGAGUUGUUUGUUAUUGACUCUAUUUUCAGCUACAAUGGUGCCAAUUACAACUUUCUUAUUUUUUAUAAAUUAAUCAAUCAUAUUGUUUUACAGCUUUUAAUUUUGAUUUUAGUCUUCGGUGUUAGUUCAACCGACACUUGACUAAUGAAAGUCCACUUGAUAGUGCCACAUGGACCAUUUUAAUGAUAUGAACGCCAUACAGAGGCGGAUCCACCUUUAAGUAUGGUGUGGCAGCUUUCACAUCAGAUUAUUAUCUAUUUUUUAAUUGGUAUAUAUAUAUCUAUUAUAGUUUAGAGAUAUAUAAUAAAUAUUAUGUGGCGCCACUUUAAUAGGUAUAUCUAGCAGUGAAUUUGUGAUGCCUUGCUCUUCAUAUGUCCAACUUUUUUAGAAAUAAAGCACAAAUUCUCUUUAUAUAAAAAAAAAAAAAAAAAACUUCUUUUAUCAAAUAAAUACAAUCCUUUUCUUGACCAAAAAAAAUAAAUAAAUACAAUCCUUUUCUUUUUAUUUAAUUUUUUGGUGGAAUCUUUCUUUUUAUUUAAAAUACCCUUAAAUAAUAUUAUAUUUUUUAAUAAACUGAAAUAUAAUUUAUUCUUUUUAUUAUACUUGAUUAUAAAUAUACAUUUUUUUUAUGUGAUGAAUUAUUUAUAAAGUGUUUUUUAUUAUUGAUGAUUUUAAGUUAUUUGGAGUGCGUAGAGAAUUAAUUUAAGACUUUUAGUUCAAUUUUUUUGAUAAUUAACGUCAUGUUUAUUACAAGUUAAAUUUUGUGUUUCUAUCUUAUAGUUUUUAGUUUAUUUUAGUGAUCCACGUAAAAAAACAAAAAAAAUCAUGACUCUGUCACCCUUUUAUGUCAAGAUACUAAUAACAUUUGACAUGUUUAUGGCUUUGUUCCCUUCAUGAUUUGAAAUGAAUUUUUGUUAUUGCAUUGUACUUGCAUUUGGGAUCUUUCUAAUUAUGUUUGUUCAUAAUUUUUGAUUUCACUAAUUAUGACGGAAGAACUUAUUUCUUUAAUUGUAUUGUGUUUGUUGUUUCGUCUAUAGACAAUUCUUAUUGUAAAUGUAUUGAAUCAAAAAUGUUAUUUAUUAUUUUUUGUAUAAUUUAAUUCAUAAAUUCUUUCAUAUUUUUGCCACACCAGAAUACAAUGUCUGGAUCCGCCCCUAAAGCCAUAACGACAUUUCCAAAUCAUAUCUCAUGUUUUCACUUCCCUUUUAAAGCUCUUAUAAAAUACCCAAACACUCGUUAAAUUUUCAUUCCUUUAUAUAUAAACUAACAACAAACUUACAAAGAAAGAAAAAACUUCUGACCCAUAACUAAUAGUACCCCACCAACUAUUCGAUCUGCGGACCUUGCAUAUAUUAUUGCUAGAAGUUUGGCAAGUGUACCAAAUACUAUCGAAGUAGUAAAAAUAUCGUUCCCACAAUGACUGAUUUUAAUCUCAAUAAUUCAAUUACGUUGUAAGUUAGGAUGUAUAAAAGUUCUUUUGAUUUGCCACUAGGCAGUUGAUUGGUUUGUUUGCAUAAAAGUAAUGACAGAAAAUAAAGAAUGGUUUUAAGAAUAAGAGAGAGAUGAGUUUAAGUCUUUCGAAUCAUCUAUGUUCCCCUAAUUGGUAUACUGCACCUAUUCUUCUGAAUGAGUCACUAGUUCAACGAUAGUUAACAAAAUAGUCCUAAUCAAUCCCUUGAGUUAGGACCCCCUUCUAGGGUUAUAGACCCUAAUUUCUUAGGUGGUCUAAUAAUCGCUGAAGGUUUAAGCACGUUAACCUAAUAUCACUAAUAAAGGAUUAUCCAUUCCUAGACUAACCAUGUUUAUUAGAACAACUCAAUUAGGUCUAAGUCGAAAGCUAGGGUCAGUAGCCAUUCGUUCUCACUAAAUCAUGUUUAUAUUUGAUCAGGAUAUAAAAAGCAUUAAGAACAAUUGAAUUGAAUAAAAAUUAGAUUAUCAUUCACAAUAAAUAGAGUUUCACAGCAACUUGUUUCAAUUAGGGUUACAAAGAAUCAUCUCAGACCUAACCUCUAAUGGAUUUAGCUACUCAUAAUGGUGUUUACAAAUAACAUAAUCAUUAGAGGAAUCAAUACAUACAUGAACUGGUAAAAGAGUGAAGAAAUCGCCCUUCUAGCCGUCUUGUAGUUUCAAAAUCGCAAUUUCCUCUCUCCAAAUCGUAACCCUUGUUUUCAGAAUAGUCUUCAGCAUAAAUAGACAACAACUACUCCUAAAAUUGUGGCACGAUUUAAGUAAAUCGUGACACGUUUCUGAUUGUGUAACAAACCACCUAAAUUAGGGUUCACGUUUUUGCCAUCGUGACACGUUUUCACCAAUGUCGAAUGCAAGUUUCUUGAAAACUCCAAAUCGUGACACGUUUUUCAGUAAUUGUGACACGUUUUUUAGUUAUCGUGACAUGAUUCCCUUUCUUCAAUUUCUUUGAUUUUUCUUGCUUUUCUUGCUGCUUAAGCUUGCUUGUGAACUCAAAAAUAUCAUAAAAACACUCUAAAAAUAGUGAAUGACUGACUGUCAUCAAUUAUGCAUUGUCCUUACCAUCUGUUAAACUUAUAUUAGUUGGCUAUUAUGUGUGUAUAAGGGAGUGGAUGAGAUUAAUGUAAUCCUUUGUUUUUCUUCAAAGCCUUUCAUUUCUAUUAUCGAAUAUUGUAUUUUUUUUAUUUGAUCAUCCUAUAUCUAACAAAAAGCUAUUCAUAUUUAGCCUAUGAGAUAUCUCAGGUCUAUAAGUGAAAGACAUCAGAGCUGCAUGAAGAUGACAUCAUAUUGAUUGGAUUUUGAUGAAUGGUUAUCAAUUCUCACUUUCUUGAUCUCUGGAGGGCGUUUUACAUUUUUUAGGAUCUCAAUGACAAUAACAAUAAACAGGAUACACACACUGGAAACUUUUAUAUUCUUUCUAAAGUUUGUAAUGGCUUAAGAAGUGAGUUGAAAGUAUAUAAAUUAUUAUGCUGAAAUUGCUUGACUAAAGUAGUGGUUUCUAAAAUUAAAUAGGGAAAAUGUUAUUUAUAUUCUUUUUCUGAUUCUUGAUUCAUGAAUUCUCAUUUAUUCGUGUUCUUUCAUCUAUCCUUGCUUUUAUCUCUGAUUGAGAUCAUAUUUUGCUUUUUGACUUUUUUCCUUCUACCUUUCUUCCUACUCACGUAACUGUUUUCUGUUAUAUUCACCAUCAUUUCCGAGAGUUCUCCAAAGAGUGUUAAUGGUGGAUUCACAAACACCAAGAACAAGGGUUAUCAUAAUGAUAUUCUUAGUCCAUAUUUCAUGCAUCAAACGACAACCCAGGUCUGGUUCUCGUUACUCCUCUUUUUUCUAGUAACACUAUCAUUCUUCGUCAAGAUCCAUGAAUGUUAUUUUAAGAUCAAAGCACAAAUAACAUUUCAUCAAUGGUUCUUUACCACGACCUCCAUAUGAGGAUUAUGACUCUCUUUCCUUACACAUAUGAAACACCAUGGUCAUGUCAUGGUUAAGAAAAUUCAAUUGAAACUGAGAUUUCACAAAGUAUUUUGUGGAUGAACACUGCUUCUGAAAUCUUGAAGGAUCUCAACGAUAGAUUUUAUCAAGUUUGAUAUCUUCAAAAUUUCUGAUAUUCAAGAAGAAAUCUAUACUCUGAAGCAAGAUUAUUAUUCUAUUUCUUUUUAUUACACGAAGAUGAAGAAAUUAUAGCAGGAAAUAGAUAAUUCCAGGCCUAUUCCACGUAAUAAUUAUGUUGAAAAUUGUCAUGUUCUUACCAAGAUGCAUGAGUAUAAAGAAUGUGAUCAAAGAACAAUAUUCUCCUGUAAGAGCCCAGAUCAUGCUUAUGGAUCACCUCCCCACAAUUGUAAAGGUCUAUUCAUUUCCUGUUCAUUAGAUAAGUCUAAGAUACUGAGAUUUAUAGAAUGCUAACAUUUUCCUUAUUUAAUUUUAGAAACCACUUCUUAGUCAAGCAAUUCCAGCAUAAUAAUUUAAAUACUUUCAACUCAAUUCCAAACUAAUAAUAACAAAAUUUUCCAUUAUAUUUGUUCUUCCAUGACAACAUUGCUUGGUUAUUCCUCUCCAACAAGACGGUAUUAGUUUUUCCUCUCUAGAUUUUCUCGUCCAGUUUCUUCAAUGAGGGGGUGGUUUUAGGUUAAUUUUUGACCUAAAAUACCACUCUUCAUCUUUUUCUUUCUAUUUCAAUCUAAAUAAGCAAUUUUCACAUAUAUAUCUAGGUUUUUUUCUUCAUGAUUUCGACAUCUAAGUGUGAUGGUGUGUUGGUUAAUUUGUCGUCUUGUGAGACGUUGUUUGAUUUCCCGUCUUGUUGCGGUGUUCAGUUGUUUUAUUUUGAAAGAUCGAUUUUCAAUCAAAGAUUUGGGCGUCAACGUUGCAUAUCCGGAGACAUGUGAGUAUUCCGGUCACUUUAGUUUUAUCAUAUAUUUUUGUAGGCAUUAUGUCGUUAUACGCUAUUAACUUUGAUGUUAUUAGUUUGUUCGCAGAUUCAUCAUUUACAUUUGUAGCGAUGUUAAAUGAUGUACUAUAUCGAUUUGAAUGAAUAAAUAUCAUUUUGUUUUUGUAAAAAAAAAGAAAAAAAAAAGACUUAUUUAGCCAUUAUGAACUCUACAGAUUGCAAAACUUUAGAAUGAAUACAAAAGUUGCCACGAAUGUGUGUAUCAUGUUUAUUGUUUUUUUUUUUUUAGGGAAUAUUUAUUGUUAUUGUCAGCAACAUUAUAAUUUCUUGGACUGAUUGAAAUUGAGAUUCUAAAAAUUGUAAAACGCCCUUCAGAGAUCAGUAAAGAGAGAAUUAAUGAUCACCAUUCAUCAAAAUUCAAUCAAAUAAAAAAACAAGAAUAGAGUUUCCGAUAAUAGAAAUGAAAGGCUUUGAAGAAAAAAAGGGAUAUGACUUAUCAGAAGAUAGAAAAGAUGGGGAUAUAACUAGUUUCCCACAUUCGACACCGUUGAUAUGACCUAAUUACAAGAACAGUGUUUGGAAGAUGUAUUUGCAAGCAUUUUGACGUUCAAGUCGGCAUUUGAAAUAGAAUGUGGGUUAAAGAUAGAACAAAUCAUACCUUGAAUAACUAAAAAAGUUCGCAUAUAUAUAACCAUAUAAUAUGAGGAAAUCAAAUUUAUUAGAACGAGGGGUUGUAUGUUUAAAAAAUACAGGUAUUUAUUGAUGCAUUAAAAAUAUAAGUUUAUAAUUGAAAAAACCAUUAAAAAAAUUCAUUUCUUAAUUUGAGUUUACUCUUCUUAAACCACGGUUAAAGAGAAACGGAUUGAAUAGAAAAAAAAAACAAGAUAAAAUCUAAAUUGUCAUUUAUUUUAUUUUUUAAAAAAUGGCUAGACAAAAUUAGAGUACCACAUGAGUGUAAUUGCAGCAUUUCUUAGAAAAAAGGAGUGUAAUUUACUUAAUUUAUUAAUGGUUUAAAAUAAACGUAUAAUAAAAAAAUCAUUCAAACUGAUGGAAUAGAGAAAACGUUGCUGCACUUAUAUUAUUCAUACUAGCAAAGUAAUUUAAUAAGUAAGAAAACCUAAUUAAAUCUUUUAGGCAAAGAGGCAAACGAUGUAAUAACCUUUGCUUAAUCACAAAAUGUACCACAUCAGGCUUCUAUAAGACUAUAAUAACCUUUUAUCCACUUGAUUUAAUUUCCAACAUAAUAGUCUCAUGUGUUUUCCUAUAAAUAGCUUUCUCGCUCAUUCUAUUUAUUUAAAUUAAAAUUCGAUCCAAACAUGGCCUCUACAUAUUCAAUAGUAUUACUUCUACUUGAAAUGAUGAUGGUUACCACUUUCGUGGGUGCUGGAAAGUCUAAUAUGUUUGGAUAUCCAGAUCAAUACCCAGUAGAUCCAGAAGACGAUUGGAUUGACUUAUUAUAUGACCCAGCUGAAAUGAAAGCACGUCUGCUGCCUAUAUAUGAUCCAGAAGAAGAUUUGUCGGAUUUCGAUUCUCUUCAUUGAAAUUUUUCCCCAAUUUUCUCCAUUGUCAAUCUCUAUCAUUAAAUUACAACAAGCACUUUUUUUUUUAAUUAAAUUUCUAGGUUCUCUAUAAGUAUAGUGGUUGCAAUUCCAUUUAAAAAAAAAAAUCAAUUGAAAUAAUCUAAAUCCAAAUUUAUCAGUGUUACGGACAUUUUAGUAAUUUUCAUUAGUAUUACAUGCGAACAAUGUGGCAAAAUUAUGUCUACUAAAAUUAUAAGAACGGUUGUUUGUUAUAUCACUUGUUUGUUAUUGACUCUAUUUUCAGCUACAAUGGAGCCAAUUACAACUUUCUUAUUUUUUACAAAUUAAUAAAUCAUAUUGUUUUACAACUUAUAAUUUUGAUUUUAGUCCUCGGUGUUGGUUCAACCGACACUUAACUAAGCGAAGUCCAUGUGACAGUGCCACAUGGACCAUUUUAAUGACCUGGACGCCACAACAACAUUGCCAAAUCAUAUCUUAUGUUUUCACUUGGCUUUUAAAGCUCUUAAAAUACGCAGACACUCGUUAAAAUUUGUCUUCCUUUAUCAACUAACAACAAACCUAGAAAGAAAGAAAAAACUUCUGACCCAUAACUAAUAGUACCCAACCAACUCUUCGAGCUCUUUAUCCAAGAUUUUGGUGUGAGCUUGUUUCACUUUGAGGAUGAUAAUUCGAACACAAUUAGUGCAGAAUUAACCCUUUAAUUUUAAACUAAAGAUUGAAUUCAAUAUUUUUUAUGGUGUUUGGGGUUUGAACCCCGGACCUUGCAUAUAUUAUGCAUUGUCUUACCGACUGAGUUAAACUCACGAGGACAAAGAUUGAAUUCAAUCUUGAUGUAAGGGAAACUGGUUGAAUGAUCAAAUAUUAGUAAUUCAUUUAAAAGAGAGGAAUUUUGUGAAUAUUUAAGGUUAGAAGGAUGAUGGUGGCUUAUUGAAGAAAAUAGACGAUGAACAGUAGUAAAGGGGGAAAAUCAAAGAGUCGUAGAGUGGCUGUUGAACAUAAGUAAAUGAACUACUGCAAUUUUCGAUUGAAGAAGAAGAUAUAGUGGUAGAUGUGUUGUAGGGUAGACAAGUAGCGCAAUAAACAAUUAGUUGCAUAAAAACUAAUUGAUUAUCUUAUAACUACUGUAACUUUUUAAUAGUUAUCUUGUUAUAACUGUUAACCAUAGUUAGGUAGUUAAUCAUAGUUUAGUUAGACAGUUGAGUUUCUCUUUAUAUAUAUCCGCAGUAAAAAACUCAUUGUAAACUCAGAUUUUGUGAAUGAAUUCCUCUC
rnacentral:lncRNA from 1 species